GACGAACGCUGGCGGCGUGCUUAACACAUGCAAGUCGAACGGAGUGGCGAACGGGUGAGUAACACGUGGGUGACCUGCCCUGCACUGCGGGAUAAGCCUGGGAAACUGGGGCUAAUACCGGAGAGUGUGGGAUGGGCCCGCGGCCUAUCGGCUUGUUGGUGGGGUAAUGGCCGACCAAGGCGGCGACGGGUAGCCGGCCUGAGAGGGUGGACGGCCACAAUAGGACUGCGACACGGCCCAGACUGCUACGGGGGGCAGCAGUGGGGAAUAUUGCGCAGUGGUCGGAAGUCUGAUGCAGCGACGCUGGGUGGGGAAUGACGGCCUUCGGGUUGUAAACUCCUUUCACCAUCGACGCGGUAGAUGGAGAAGAAGCACCGGCUAACUACGUGCCAGCAGCCGCGGUAAUAC
rnacentral:rRNA from 1 species